ACCACGGUAGUGUCCCAUCAGAAACGUAUGACAUCCUGCUGCUCCUGCUCCGUCCUGAGGUGGCACCCCCCAGUUUUCUGGGUGUACACAUCCAUCUAAGCUUGGCUGGUGGGCGUCUGCCCAGAUGAGGGGGCCAAGGACCCAACUCUGCACAACAGCAAAUGCAUUCAGGGAGGGCCACUGGGACCUCCAGGAGCUGCUGAGAUACCACCCAAGUCCCAGGCGUGUGCAGGACUCAUGGGGCCAGAGGCAUGAUACAGAUGUGAUGGCUGGAGGUCCAGCAGCUAUCAUGGACCCUGAAGUGAUCUGGAGGCUAGACAUCACACCCUAAGAAUGGCAGAGCUGAAAGGCAGAGGAAACA
rnacentral:lncRNA from 10 species